rnacentral:rRNA from 3 species
CAAGGCGACGAUCCCUAGCUGGUCUGAGAGGAUGACCAGCCACACUGGAACUGAGACACGGUCCAGACUCCUACGGGAGGCAGCAGUGGGGAAUAUUGCACAAUGGGCGCAAGCCUGAUGCAGCCAUGCCGCGUGUAUGAAGAAGGCCUUCGGGUUGUAAAGUACUUUCAGCGGGGAGGAAGGUGUUGUGGUUAAUAACCGCAGCAAUUGACGUUACCCGCAGAAGAAGCACCGGCUAACUCCGUGCCAGCAGCCGCGGUAAUACGGAGGGUGCAAGCGUUAAUCGGAAUUACUGGGCGUAAAGCGCACGCAGGCGGUCUGUCAAGUCGGAUGUGAAAUCCCCGGGCUCAACCUGGGAACUGCAUUCGAAACUGGCAGGCUUGAGUCUUGUAGAGGGGGGUAGAAUUCCAGGUGUAGCGGUGAAAUGCGUAGAGAUCUGGAGGAAUACCGGUGGCGAAGGCGGCCCCCUGGACAAAGACUGAC